rnacentral:rRNA from 1 species
UACGAAGGGGACUAGCGUUGUUCGGAAUUACUGGGCGUAAAGCGCACGUAGGCGGAGUUGCCAGUCAGAGGUGAAAUCCCAGGGCUCAACCCUGGAACUGCCUUUGAUACAGCAACUCUUGAGUCCGAUAGAGGUGAGUGGAAUUCCUAGUGUAGAGGUGAAAUUCGUAGAUAUUAGGAAGAACACCAGUGGCGAAGGCGGCUCACUGGAUCGGUACUGACGCUGAGGUGCGAAAGCGUGGGGAUCAAACAGG